UGAGACUGGGCUGCUGCACGAGGCCUGUCCCCUUGUGUGCAGAUCCUUCCAGCAUCUGGUGGCCAUGUUUGACCCUCUGCCUCAAGACGAAACUACCCCUCCACCAACGGAGGCUCCCCAGUAAAUGGUUCACGAAGUUUCGUUUAAAAUCUUGCAUUAUUAAAGUCACUGCAACUUUU